CCUACGGGGGGCAGCAGUGGGGAAUAUUGCACAAUGGGGGAAACCCUGAUGCAGCGACGCCGCGUGAGUGAAGACGUAUUUCGGUAUGUAAAGCUCUAUCAGCAGGGAAGAGAAGGACGGUACCUGAGUAAGAAGCCCCGGCUAACUACGGGCCAGCAGCCGCGGUAAUACGUAGGGGGCAAGCGUUAUCCGGAUUUACUGGGUGUAAAGGGAGCGUAGACGGGGAAGAAAGUCUGAAGUGAAAGCCUGCGGCUCAACCGCGAAACUGCAAUGGAAACUGUUUUGCUGGAGUACCGGUGAGGUAAGCGGAAUUCGUAGUGUAGCGGUGAAAUGCGUAGAUAUUAGGAGGAACACCAGUGGCGAAGGCGGCUUACUGGACGGUAACUGACGUUGAGGCUCGAAAGCGUGGGGAGCAAACAGGAUUAGAUACCCUAGUAGUC
rnacentral:rRNA from 1 species